rnacentral:lncRNA from 1 species
AAGAUAAGGCUGCUGAGACUUUGUUGAAGGUGGCAGACGAGGUUAUACGCUGAGGUUUAAUGACAAAAAUUCGAGGGUAAAAGCAGCAAGGGAAAGGAGAACAAUUAGAGGGUCUCUUGUAAUGUGAAUGGCACUAGGACUUUGCCCAGAUUGGCAAAAACGUAGCUGAAUGUUGAUGUAGUUUUAUUGCAUUUUCAGAUGUAUGAAAAAAAAAAACAUAUUUAUUUAUUGGUGUUGAAUUGCAGAACAAAGAUUGUGUUUAGCCAUUUUAUUACUAUUAUCAUUUCUUUAAAUUGGGGUUAUGCCGUGAGAUGAUAUACAUAAGGAAAUAUUGUUAAUUUCUUCGCACUCCAUUCAAGUUCUAACCUUGUAGUUUCAUCAUUUUGCUUGCCUUUGCUGGGAAGACAAAAAAAAUAGAUAAAUAAUACGUUAAAAGUGAUUUGAGGUUUAUUCAGAAUUUUUUUAUAUUUUUAAAAAACUAAUAAGGUCAAAAUUGACAUUGUAUAGAGUGUAUAAGUUAUUUAAUAUCGAAUUUGAAUGUGAGGUGUAUUUAUCAGUACGGAUGUGUACAUCUUUUAUUGGCACGGAAGUACUUAUCGAUUAUGCAUUGAAUUUUUUAGUAAUUUAAUUCAAAAUGUGAAGUAGCUUUUGUAAAGUUACCGAAAGCGCCGUGACGGAGAUGAAGAUGGAAAUGGUGUAAAACUUUUGACGAGUUGAACCGAAAGCGCCGUGACGGAGAUGGAGGUGGAGAUGGAGAUGAGGGCCGGGGAAGAAAUAGAGAUAGGACAAGACAUAACGCCACCGCUCCCUCCGCUUUCUUCCUCUCUCCACCACUCCCUCCUCUCAUCUCACUGCUCUUCCUGCUUCUCCCCUCUCCCUCCCCAACCCUUCCCUCCCCUCUUUACUCCUACCUUUCCCAACACUCCCUCCUCCUACUACUGCUCCUCCCUCUGCUCCUCCGCCGAUUCUCCCCUCCACGUCUCCAGCGCCGAGCCCUACCUUCUCCUGCUUCUCCAAUCCCACCCCUCCGCCUACCCCAACGGCGACUCCUCCGACCUCCGCGCCGCCCUCCGCCUCCUCCAAUCCCUUCCCGCCACCUCCCCCUACCCUCGCGUAGCCGGCCUCCUGACGAAUCGCCACAAACUCCUCCACCACCACGACCAUAGGGUUCGCGACGGCGCCAGAGCCAUGUUCCUCGCCAGGAAGAUGCGGGAUGAAUCUCCGAAUUUCUCUAUCGAUGCGACUAUUGCCAACGUUGCUCCGCACGACGCCGUAUUGGAGGAGGCCGUGCUGUCAUUGGUGCUAACGAACGCCGUGGAGGUGCAGGAUAAGACCGGGCGCACCCUUGGAAUUUCCGUCUACGGUCCCAGCUUCUGCUGGAUCAACCACAGCUGCUCCCCGAAUGCUUGCUACCGCUUUUCUUUGAUGACACCGCCAACGCCACCUUGUUGGCCCGAAACGGCGCUGCUGCGCAUUGUCCCCUUCGGCCGCUCCUCCGGUCGUGCCACACAAGUAAUCCCUGCAAAUUUGCACCGUUUGUUUAAUUUAUAGUGGAAUAAGAUUGAAAUUCAGGGUUGUGAGAUGGAUAUUUGUUGCAGAUUGAGAAUGGUGUUUGUAGCAAUAAUGUGUUAGCAAAAGGUGUUGUGGUUUUUUUAAGUUUUCGUGCUUCUUUUCGGUUUUUGUUUGUUUGAAUUAGUACACCAAAUUUACCAGUAUUAUUGAACCAUUCGUGUAUAUUACGAAUGUAGAAAGCCGAGGUUAUGGUCCAAGAGUGACGGUUAGGAGCAUCAAGAGAAUCAAGAAAGGCGAAGAAGUGACUGUUACUUACACUGAUUUGUUGCAGCCUAAGGUAUCUGCAUUUUAUCUAUAUACACAUUAUACAUGGAUCAGCGAUUGGAAUUUUGAAUUCAUAUAAUCCACAUCUGUUUUGUCAAGUUAACUGAGCGAUGUUUCGAUGACUGUGAGAUGAGAAUUUGCUAGUGUCAUUUUCUGCUUAUUGUCCCUGUCUUAGGAAACUAAACUUGAUGAGACAAUGCAAGGCAAUCCGACUUCUUUCCACUUUAGGGAUUAGCUAAAUCUUGCCCCAUUUGACUUUUCUUUUACUUAUUUCCAAUUUUAAUUGUGUUGAUGUUAUAUUUUAAUCCCUUUCUUUUAACGUCACAUUUUCUUUUCUUCUCAUGAGCUCCUCCAGGCAAUGAGGCAGUCAGAGCUAUGGUCAAGGUAUCGGUUUAUCUGCUCUUGUACGCGAUGUAGUGCAUCACCCCUAACCUACGUGGAUCAAGCUUUGGAGGUGGCAAUUCAUGAAAACUUUUUCUUUCUUUCUUGAUAUUCUCAAUUAAAUACUAAUUCUUAAGUCUAUUUGGAGUUCUUCCGUAAUAUCUUUAUACUAUUGAUUUUACAGAAAUUAUAAAUGCACUAGGAUAUUUGUACUUCUAGAUUCUUGUUUUUGUAUCCCCCCCUGUAUAUAGUUUGGCCUUCACUUUGAACAAAAGCUCUUUUUCAACUUGAACAUGAAUUACCUCCUAACCAUUUUUCUUCCUCUCUGGCAGUCAACUUUAUUUCCUAGGAUGUAGCUAAUGUUCUUAUUGGUGUUUUUUGAAUAAUCAUUAACCUUCGGUUUCAAAACUCCAGGAAAUAUUUGCAGUCAAUUCCAACUCCUCCAGUUUGAGUUUAGAAAUAAACUUCAAUAGAGAUAAGGCAACGCAAUUGUUGAGUGUUUACUUUGAUGAUGCUAUUGACGACUACCUGUCGAGUGGCGAUCCUGAAUCUUCUUGUGAGAGGCUUGAGCAUGCGUUCACACAAGGACUCUCUGAUAUGCAAUUAGAUUGCAACGGAGAAACAUCUCAGCUGAGAUACUGGUUGCACCCAUUAAAUUACCUCUCCCUAAAUGCCUACACAACAUUGGCUUCAGCGUAUAAAAUCCGUGCAACUGACAUGAUAGCUUUAUGUUCUAAAAUGGAUGAUCAUCUGUUAAAAGCUUUGAACUUAAGCAGGACUAGUGCAGCAUACUCCUUACUACUUGCUGGUGCAACUCACCAUCUGUUCCGCUCUGAAUCGUCUCUAAUUGUAUCUGUUGCAAAUUUCUGGACAAGCGCAGGGGAGUCAUUGUUAACUCUUGCUAAAAGCUCAGUCUGGAGUGAGUUUGUCCACCGGGAUCUGCCUGUGUCAAAUCCAUGUUCCACUGCAAGUUAUAGAUGUCCAAAAUGCUCAUUGAUAGACAAAUUUGAAGCUUGUUUAUUCUAUGGUCAAGUUCAACAUGCAGAUUUUGACGAUGUCUCAAGUGAAUUCAUUGAUUGCGUCUCUAACUUUACACAGAAUGUUUGGAAUAUUUUGGCUCUCAGUUGCCAGUACCUUAGAUUGAUUAAGAGUCCUAUUGAUUUCAGUUGGCUUGGUACCACAAAAGAUUCCAGUGUAGGGGAAGUUCUGAUUCGGUCUAGUGGCACUAAAGCGGGUUCUUGUGGGACUGAGAGAAGCAUUUCUGGAAGUGAAGCAGAGGGAUACACAGCCCAGGUACGGAUAUGUAUUUUUAAGCUCGGUGUCCAUUGCUUACUAUAUGGAGGAUAUCUAGCGAGCAUAUGUUAUGGUAAUUCCCAUUUGACCUGUUAUGUUCGUAAUAUUUUAGAUAUGGAAGGGAUAUUAUUGAAUCCUUGUCAUGAACCAAAUUGAGUUUGAGAUCUUAGAAGUUAAAUUAUUCCUGUUUUGGUGUUAAUUGCUGUGUUAUUAUACUCGUUAAGAAUCUGUUAAAAAUGUUGGUUGCAUAUAUCGUCUUCUCUGCUUGUGAUUUUUCGCCUCGAACUCUAUUCGUCUUGCAUGAUGCCCCAAGGAAUCAGCCACACGUAUCAGAAGUUUGUGUCAACGGAUUCAAUUUGAUAGACUACAGUGGGUUUCAAAAUAGAAUAAUCCGCUAUAGCUGUUUCAUAUAUCAUUUCGGUUCAGUCAAAUUAAAGAACCAAAAUUGAAAUCACAAUUGGAUUCGAUUUGGAAACAUCUGAAAUACAAAAUUGAAACCACAAUCGAAUUAAAGAACAAAAAUUGUCAUCUCCUGAUGCAUCCCUGUUUCUAUUUGUGUUCGUGUUUGUGUCAAAAAUACAUCGUAAGAAUGUUAUAACAGUUGCAUACUUAAAGCGACGCCCUACUGAAUGUUACAAUAGAUGCAUACAAGACCGUCGCUAAUGUCAAUGUUUCUUCUUUUUGUUGGACUUUGAGUUGGAGCCAUGCUCAUUUUUAUGUCGCUUUUCCCCACUCUUGUGACUCUCUCUCUGUUUUCCUUUAUCCAUUUUGUUUCUACUUGAUUUCACGCUAACGAGACCACCAGCAGGUAGGUUUGCACCGCCAUUCUGUAAUGCAUUCUCAAAGUCUGCAUCUCUGUCCCCAAUCGCGUACUGUUGAAGCAACUUGGGAUCUAAUGACCCCUCCGAGUUGGAUCUCAUCCCAUCCUGUAUGUGCGUAGUCAAGUCAGCCCAACUCUUGGGAUUCAGAACGCGGGAAAGAGAGGCAGUUCAGGUAACACGAAGGUAAGGAAGGAAUAAAGCGUACCUCAACUUUUCUUGCAGCAUCAUUGAGAUCAUCAUCAACAGAGAUCUUGUGAGGUUCCAAGAGAGUCUGAACCAAAAUUUCCGAAUCAGAGUGGAGUUACAACAUAGGCAGAAGAAAAGCACAGUAGCAUACAUACACGCACGCACGCACAAUUAUAAUGUGAUAGACGAUGUUUAAGCUUGCAUUAAGAAACACAAUAAUGUAAACUUAGCGAUUACAUAUCAAACAAAAUAGUUCAGGUACCAAAGUGGCUCACGCGCAACACACAUGUCAAUAUCAUAUAGUUAAGCCAACUAGAAUCAUAAUGCAUCCUACGACAUGAAAUUAUUAGAAAGAGAUGGAAACCACCAACAUAUCAUGUACUUUCCAUAAGAAAAAAAAGGGUUACUGCUUUGCUGAACUUACUUCUUUUGGUUUAGGCAAGGUUGACACAAGGCCCUCAGAUGCAAUAGCGUAUAGAUAUUUGUGAAACUUUUUCAUAACUUUUAUAAACAGAGACAAUAUUUGCUGCCUUUCCAGUUUCAUCAACCCCUGGAAAACGUGAAUGUAAGUAAAAAUCUACACCUGAUAAGAAUGAAAUAAAGAGCAGAAAUGACGCCACCAAGUAGAGUGUUUUGUCUUUGCAAGUGGGUUUGAUUGCGUGCUCGCAUUGCAUCUAUGUGACUGGUAUAGCCAAGCAAACCAUAUGAGUAACAAGUAGAGAAACAAACCUCAAUAUAGGAGAUAUCUUGAUUCUGUAAGCCAAUGCAGAGCAAUAUGGAAGCCUGGGCACCUGUCAAUGUCACUGGAAGUUUCUCUUGGAAAUACAGAUGUGAAAGCGUUGGAACAAGAUCCAAAAUCUGUAAAAUAAAAGCAUAACUUUAACAUGUGUAAAGUUAUAAACAAACGAUAACUAGAGUACAAGAGGACCUCAGUUUAGAAAAUGACACUUAAUUUCAAAUUCAAAUGGACCCCAGGGUUUAAACUGUAAUUUUAAAAACAAUUCGCAGGUAAUUUGAAGAAAGUAAGGUCUGUUGGUUAAGGAUGAAAAUGCAAUAAGCCCUCGGAUCCCUCCUCCCCACUAUCAUCUAUGCCUAACAGGAGGAAGAACAUCUUGACACAUUCAAACUGGCAGCCUUUCCCAAAAAACAGAAGGAAGCAGAUAAUCCACUCAAACCAUAAUCAACAAAAAUGGACGACAUGCCAUUGACCAGGAUGCACUGCACCUUCCUGAGAACCGCACAACAAAUGGGUUCACCUCCCUCAGGGGCAUACCCACAAGGGGGUGGGAUUGGGUGGGAGGGGAAGAGAAGGGGUCUAAUAGCCUAAUCGCUGUUGAUUUCAUCUUUUUAUGUAACACAGAGCACGGGAUGAAACAUCGGCCACAGAAUCCUACACACAAAUUACUUGUAAAGUACACAAAUUCCCCUUCUCAAACAAGCAAUUUUGAACUUUUAAUGUGUAACUGAACAUAUAUAUACAUAUAAUUAGAUCAAUAACUAAACACAAUGUCCUAAUAGUUCACUUUUGAAAAAGAUUAUUCAUAAAACAUUGCAAGAGUAAUAUAUGUUCACAAUCAUGGUAUCAGAUUGUCCACAGUAAGAAAACAAAUAUUUCACCACUGUCAACUAAAAAUUGUAUCACAAUCACAAUCAUAUUGCCACACUGAGACGAUAAUUCUAUCACAAAGGAAUACAAUUUUUCUUUUGUAAUGCAAUAUUACUUUCUUUUUCUAAAGGAAAGCAUAUUUUGUCUUGUAACGCAAAUAUCUUUUUUGAUUCUAAGGGAAGUAUUUCUUGUUCUGUAAUGCAAACAUUACUUCUAUUUUUAAUAUGAAUGUAUGGAAUCAAUUAGUAAUCCUAAGAUAAAAAAAUCCCAAAACACUACAUAGCACUAUGACAGGGCAAGUUGGCAAUCAACCAUUGUUCAGAGAACUUACCAUAUGAAAGUCAGCAAGACUGCUGGUGUAGGCCUCCAGUCGCUUCAUAUCAUAAGGCGAAAGUAAGUCUGUGAUAGACCGUAAGAAUCCAUCUGUGGUAGACGAUUUGGGUUCUCCAUCCUUGUAAUUGAUCUUAGGAUCUAAGAUGCUGGAAAAUUAUUAGUUAGUACGAGCACUUGAACAAUAAGCAUUUAUCAGAAUGGAACUUUUAAUAGUACCUCAUAGCGAGCCUAUAAUCCAUUGUACGAAAACUAUAACCCAAUAGUCUCAAAAAUCUUCUCCUGAAAUCUAGGUAGCCAACAAAUAAUCAAGCUGUGAACUGAAAUACAAAAAAUCUGCACAAAUUUAAAUAGAACAAAGGUUUUCCAAAGAAAAAUGGGCCCACCUAGGUUGAAUGGACGAAAAUCACUGGUUUCAAGUUCAUCAUUCUUCAAAGAUUUGAGGACCAUACACGUAUGCUCCCCGGUCACACCACUCUAUUACAUUGAAAAGAAAAAUGAAAAAUUAUUGUUUAAUCAGUCAUUCAUUCACAAAUGAUAAUAUUCAAAAAAACAGUAAACGGAAAAAAGGAUUCAGUAUGGAGAGGGGAAUCCAUCUUAACUGGAAUAUGUCCAAUAUAGAAUGGAGCAAACUUAUGUUUCCACCAAAACCUGAAAAGGUCCAAGGUAAGCCCAAAGGAGACACCAAUAUAAUGGAGCUUCUCUGGUCGCCUUUCACGAAGAUGAACAAGCAAAUGAGGAAGAUCUGUUCUAGGUUUUAUACUUUCUUCCAGCAAUGAAACCUAUAAAUAAAAUAGACAUAGGUAUCAUUCCGAUAAACAAUAUCAAGGCACAGGCGGCAGGUUGAUUAAUACCAAACAAACAAACCAAUACAUGAUAAUAUACUUUGAUGUCAUUAUGAUUAAAAUUAACACAACAAAUGAUCAUUCACAAAAGUUUGUCAAAUUAUAUUCAAACACAGAAAUUGUUCUACAAUCACCGGAAUGAAGCUUAACCAACUCAAACACUUCGACAGAACAAGAAUUGCAUUACCAGAAACCUAUGAGUUACAAAAUUGCCUCCAAUUGCAAUAAUAAUACAUAGAAUAGUCUCGUAUAAGCAGUUCUCCAACCUAUUAAUUAAAAAUAUUUAUAAAAAAAAAAAAACUAAGCUUGGUGAUUGUAGUUCACCUUCUCAGCAGCUUCUGUGACUCUGAGUGGGGGAGUCUCAACAUCUUCAACGUCCAGUUCAGAAAUAGGAGCAAACUGUCCUUCGUAGUACCUGAGGAGAAAUAAACCCUUAACACCCAUUUUUUCAAAUAUAAAAACAUAAAUGUGAAGCAUCAACUUUUAGAACCAAAGAGAUUCAGUGCAAUUUUCAUGUCAAAACACUUUUAUCUCAAUAAUGAAGUACUUAUGAGUUACAUUGAUACAAGAGCAAUGCAUCCCACAUAUCACACACAUUCCUUAUAUCUGGAUCCCCAACAAUAGCAAUCCAAUGUCACCCACAUAGCACAUGAUACAUACCAGAGGUGUCCCUAGAAUGUCCACAUCAGCCAUUCCUUAUAUCUGUGUCCCCAAAAACAUUUGCAGUAAAAAGUACAUGGACUUAUGAGCACAAAGGGAUAACGGACAUGUAUGGGUUGACUUGAGAGAUAAACCAAGUAAAGUAAGUUCAAGAAAAAAUCUAGGACCAAAUAGGAUACAAGGUCAGAAUCAGUGUGACCCAUCUAAAAAGUUAGGACCCCACAUUAAUUUGUGCAGUCAACAACGAGGAUCCAUCUUUGGAUUAUUAUCCUAAAACGCUCUAUCUUUGGAUUAUAUCCUAAAGUGCUGCUGGUUAAGCUUGUUUCUGGUUUUUCUCUGUUGGAAAUUUCAAUUACUAACGAAAUAUCCAAUCUUCAUUUAAACAUACAGAUUUAAACUCAACUGUUGGCACUGCAGACUCUUGGCCAUUGUUGGGAUUGAAAUAAGCUAGAGUUUCUCAAGAUAAAUGCGGAUGAGGUGGGUUUUAUUUGAGAUAGCGAAUUCCAUGUGUUUGUGGAUUUAUUGCCAAAGCAAUUUGGGAAGAUCCCUGCUGUUUCCUCCAGAUGGAUGGGGUUAUAAUUUCAUUGUAACUUUUCUGAAGUAAGUUUUAGUUGGACUCCUUUUCUUUGCAAUGGACAACUUCUCCUCCUUUCCUUUAGAAAAUGCUUUGCUUUGCUGAAUUUUUCGUAACUCUUAGAAAUGUAACCCAAACUAAGAUGAAAACCCCCAACAUGACCGUAUUUUAAUAUGCUAUCACUUCUAAUCCUCUAUAUCUUUCCACUUGUUUCUCCAACUACCAUCAUAUGACUCGAGAGUUGUAUUGUGAGAAAGUCAUCUGUAUAUCAAAACUGAAAUCAAAUGAUCAUCUCUUCAGCACCCACAUGGUCUAUGUUCUAUAGCUUUCAACCCAAGUGAACUGAAAGCAUGAGACUCACAUUUUGAGUUGCGACUUUAUGUGCCUGAGCCAGGGUGCAUAUGCAUGAUUGCUUUUCAUUCAUUUUAGAAAUCAUUUGAAGCAUUGCUUCAGACAUAUAAUCUUCAAUCUUUUCACCUUUUUUUUUAUGACAAACAGUAGCGUUAGUGGGUUAAAAGUUUAUUUGUUAGGGGGAGGGGAAUCGAUGGGCAUCAAACCCGCACCAGGGUGCAUAUGCAUGAUUGCUUUUCAUUCAAAGUGUAGCAAUAUGGGGCUAAAAGAAUCACUCAGUCAAUCUUUCUCAACACCUUAGGCAUCCACAUACACAUUGGGAUCAUGUAUGUGAUCUACAAAAACGUUUAGGUGGGGAAUAACUCAAAGAGGAGCAUACCUUGUCAAUAGUUCCACUGCUUGUGAUCCAUAUCCAAUCUACAACAACGAAAAAUAAAUUACCAUUUCAACAGAUCCCUGGUUAUAGAUUACCAUUUCAACAAAAUCCUGGUUAUACAUAUUGCUUUGGAAACCAUAAUGAGAGAAUACCUUCAUGGCACUUGGAUGUGUAGCAAUUCGUACAAUCCGAGCACCUGAAAGACUGGGAAAAACUGUGUCCUGAAAUUGCUCACAGAAUUUCCAUGGUAUCUGGUCACCAGAAGGCUGAUGACCAUCACUUAAACUUUUCAUUGCAGAUUCACGAGAGAUCUUUCCCUCAAGGCAGACCUAAGAACAAAAUGAUAGCACAUAAAAUGUUGAGCAUCAAAGAAUUAGUGUUUUAUAGAAGAUGAAGUACGUGUUUAAAGUGUUGUCCUUUAUUGCUAUUUCACAUAAGGUAAAAUUAUAAAUAAAAAAACUAAUAAAAUUUUGGGUAUGCGUUAAAUAACUAAAAGAAAUAAUAGUCCUGAACUAGGGGAAGACAGUCAAACCUGAAUGACACACAAAAUAUCAGGAAGCUGAUUUUUUGACUCAUCAACAGGGCCUGCACGUGCAAAUUAUAAUCAAGUCCAGCCAAAUAGCGGCAAAAAAAGAAAGACCAGUUCUAACGUAACAUAUAUACCAAGUAGCACAAACAGGUGGUGAGCCGGGGCAUCAGCCAUUAGUUGCAAAUCAUUUGGAGAAUUUUUGUAGUGGGAGGCAACAUAUAGAGCCAUCAUCCGCUGCAAGUAUUAGAAUAUGUAAGUUCACUAAUAUGAAAAUGAGAAUCACUAGUCUGACAUUACUUGAACAUGUAAUUACCUGUAAGAACAACUCGCUAUCUUUAUGAUAUGAAAAAAGCGUAUCACAGUUUACGUAGUACAGAUCGCACUCACUGGGUGCAGGUAACCUAGCCGCCAAGAGAGAGAGAAGAGAGAGAGAGAUCAUUAAUAAAGGUAAGGGUUAUAAUGGAGAUGGUUACAUCUUCCUCGGUUCUGACUGUCUAAGCAAAUGUUUUUACCCGUUAAGUUUAGGGAUAUAAUUUGUGAUAUCCAAGCAAAGUAAACCAUGAAGCCAGGAUUCAAUCGGAUCACCAGAAGCAUAUCUGAUAGAUUCUUUCAAUUCUAUCUUUUUGAAAAGACGACCUACAAUCAGGGACAUUUAUCAAUUCAGAAAAUUAUGUCCAAAUAUCACAAAAUAGUUUUUAAAAAAUUAUACAUUGCUCACUUGCAAGCGCCAACAGUUCAAGUAUUUCAGAAACAAUAAUGUUAAGAGAAAGCAGAAGAAACAUUGAAUUUUGAAAAUAAAUUCAAGUUUUGGGGGGAAAGGGGGAUUUUGAUCCAACCUAAUUCAAGAUGAGAAUACAAAACACGGCCAAUAAGGAAUAAGCAUACCAGAUGUAGGCCCCUUAGCAGACACUUGGCUUUGCUCUUCCAAUUGCUGUAGAAGUUUUAGGGACAAAGACCGACCAGUACCUUCAUAGCUUUCAGUGUAAAAUAAAUGUCCUUUAGUAUUUAAAUUGCACUUAGAUUUUUUUUUUUUUACCAAAAGUUGAAUUCAGAGUUGACUUAUAAAUAGAAAGACAUCAAGCAUGAGUCAAGGAAAAGUGGAAACAGCCCAUGAAAAGUGAAAGAUCUUUCAUUCCCCCCCGCGGCCGUAACAGAAAGUGAAAAAGUGAAGUGAAAUAUGUUUCAUGAGACUGUUAAAACCAAAAAAGAACACAUGAUAAGAAUACACGACAUGAAGGAAGAAGAACAUGGAUGAAUCUUACCCAUUAACAGUAGAUGAAAGGAAGACCAGAUAAGGACCAAGCAAAGACUUCACUACUGGUAGUGGAAUAGCAGCUGCUUCAUCAACAACCAACAGUUCAACUUGGGAAAGCUUUUCAUGCUCAUGUGGCCGUAUAUACUGCAAGUACAAGUAACAAAAGUAAAAAACAAAUAGCCCCAAAAGCAAUGAGCAGUACAAAGUUCUUUCUUUUAGGCUACAUGAGGUGUAAAGGUCUAGACCACCUCACAAUCUCACAGGCAUGUUGAGUGCCUCUAUACCAUACAUACUGGAUUAGUGCCAGGAAGACACAUUAGGUUGACCAAAAAGUUUGGCGUUUCAGGAACAUGCUUUUAGAAGCAAGCUUCAGUAAUCACAAACCAUCUAAAUUAUGUUCAAUAUGCUCACACCAAUAACAAAAAUGAUGCACUUGGGCAAAAGUACAAUAGAAUUUUUGGAGUAGUCAAACAAAGACAACCACUAAUCAUAUAUGAGGGCAUACGACAUUUGAUGGGCAAAAGGUGAACACACUCAUGGCUAUUGUGAUGCGGCUAUCCAAUAGAAGAAUAUUCUCUAUUACAACUUGGUUAUCAACUUUUCAUGAGUAACAAUUCCUCCAUGUAUUUGUAUUUUGGUAUCAACUGACUAAACAAAAUCUUUAUUGCUAUUUUUUUAUAGAAAACGAGAUUUUAUUAAACAGCUAAAAAACAAUACAACACUUAGUGGACUAGGAAGUCCACCAUCAAAACGAAACAGCCCUGACAUAUGCCUCAACAUUCACCUCCAUCAUUAUAAAACAGAUCUGCAACUAUCUCACUGCAACUCCCCAAUCCAACAAAAUUACAUAAAAUGAAAGAUCCCAAAACCUUGGAGAGAGAGAAGCCAUAAGAAUGCCCAAUUCUUUCCCAAGAAUUCUCUUGUAAAUCCCCACUCUAAUUUUCAAAGGUUGCAAACUUGAAAUUAACAUAGAAGGUAACUGGCUUCAGAGUCAACUAGGAUAAUACUGGGCAUAUAUGCAGAGAGUAGGCAUAGUAGCAACUUUCAGGGUAUGGAAUAAUACAAAAGGAAAGGGAAGACCACAGAAUUCUCUCAGUCAUCUUAACUUGAUUUGGUACUAAGAAUAAGUUAUGUAUACACUUCCCACUGGCCCAUCUGUACGUUAAUAUAGAAAUAGAUUAUAUCCUGGCAACAAGGAAGUGAAAUACUCCUAUUUUUAUAUCAAUAUUGGGCACAAAUUAAGAGUUCAUCAAUAUAAUUUUACCUCAAUUGUAACCAACUGUGCAUAUAAGUUUACCUGAAUUGUUUGUCUGUGCUGCUUGUAUAUAUUGAUCUGUACAGUUGCUUUCUUCAACAAAGGGUCACUACUUUUCUGUACAUCAUAAUCUAUAUGUUCCUGCAAACAUAGUUUACAACUGUAAGCUCAAUAACUAGUGCACUGUUCGAAGUACAUGAUUGAAAAAUGAAGAAAACGGAGUGACCUUAUAACAAUUAAUGAAAGAUAAAAUGUAGUUCACAGAAUAAAACAUUCAAACACCACCAUCUUGAUAGUUAAACAAUUUCACUGUAAAAGCUAUUAAACUUAGCAGGAAAAAAAAUUUAAACUUUAUCUAACAUUUGAAUCUACAAUUUUCAAUUAGCAACUCUUGUCACAAAUGUUUAUUAGUGGGGUACGUUCUAAGAUAUUGUUAUUUGCUAAUUGUCGAGGAUUAUUUGGGAGUUAAAUCUCACAAGAAGGCGUAAAGAUCACAUUAGAAUUAGAUAUUUUACUAGGAAGCUAAAGAUCACAUUAGAACCACCCGCAGGAAUACAAAAAAACGACAUACCUUAUAGUCCAGUUGAUCAAAACCCUUGCAAACAAAUUCGAACAAGGUUCUUAAGUUCUCAGGGCUGGGUGCAGUUACAAAUAUAUUUGAAUACCUGUGAAGAUAUAUUUGUAUCGUCAAAACAUAGUACAUGAAUAUGAGUGUAGACAGCUACACAUACACCAAAACAGUUUUAAUACAUUGUAAAAGGCAUACUACCCUGCAGCAAUAGCUCCGGAAAUUGCCAAACCAAGUGCAGCCGAUUUUCCACGGCCUCGAGCAGCAAGCAAGGCAACAGUACUUCGGAGUGUCUUGUCCAAGAUUGCAUCAAGAAAUGUAGCAACAGCAUUUCCCUGUUGAAACAUUUACCAACUCAAACUAUGAGUCAUAUUAGUAAAUCACACAUGAUAGAAAAACUCAAAACUAAUACAAAUCAGAGAGAGUGCCUACCUGGUCCAACGUACAACAUUUCUUUAUUAAAGGGCCAACAGGAAAGGCAUCACUCAGCUGCUCUUUUAGAUCCUUCAGUUCCCUUUGUGACUCUGAUAUCCCUUCAGAGUCCUUCAAUCAUGAUCAGAAAACAAGAAAAAAGUUAUCAAAGUUAUCAAAGCUUCACAAACUCCUAGAAAGUAUCCUAAUAACCAUUCGGUAUACACACACUUGAAAAAUUACUUUUAUUCUUUUUGUCAUCUCGCAUAAGAUGCCACGAAAAUAAAGCAUUCCUCGAUUUAUCAGUUCCGUCCUAUAGAAAAGUUACAAGGCUAAAAGGUUACCUCUUUCACUGGAACUGGGGUAAUUGACCUCAUAUGAGAUGAAAUUGGUAAAAUAUUCAGCUCAUCAUCCAUUACUACACAUGAUUUGCAUGACGCAAGUGACAAUAAGAAACGCUCGUUAAAACGUCCAGUAGCCUUAGAAUGGGAUUCAGUUCGAAACCUAUCAUGAACAUCCUGAAAUCAAGAGGCGCUGAUAAGACUGUAUGGAGAUUUUUGCAUUUGAGAGAACGAGAAAGACAGUGUUGCAAAUAAAACAUGACAUAACGGAAUUGUUAUCAAAUAUAAUAUGUGGUGCAUGGCUAUUGCUAUAUUCGUUCUAAGUCCAUAAUGUAGUAAAACUAGAAACUACCUCAACAAGAAGAACAAAUAUUAUGAGGAAACCUAGUUGUUUUUUCUUCUUCUUUUUGGGGCUAGAACAUGAAAAGAAACAACUAGUCUACAUAGGCCCAACUGGGAAACUUAUAUGUUCAGCAGCAUUCUCUUAAAGAAAGUCAAGCAAUUGAAUCUACCAAAAGUCUUCUUGUAGCCAAGCACAUCAUUACGAAAAAAUUCGGAAACUUUUAACAUGGCUAGUUUUCAAGAUUUUGCGGUAUAUAAUAAGCAUAACCAUGCUGGCCUAAAAACUAAGCAUUAAUUGUGUGCAUGCGUAAGAGAAAGAGGUAUUAUUAUAUGCAUACCAUAACCAUGGUGUAGAGGUUGGUGAGUGAGGUUAGAGAAUGAAGCAACAAUAUGACUAGUCCACCUCCCUCCACUGUCUCUAUCGUUCUUGCUAGUAGAUUUGGAGUCAAGGCCUCAAAAUCCUAAUGCAGGAGAUCAAACUUAGUCAUAAAACUUAAAUCAAUUAUACAAGGGGUCUUGGCCAAACCAGUAAAUUUGUAAGUUUCAAGUUACCUGAAGUAUACACAUUCCAAAGGUAUUACCAAGAACUCUUUCUGAAUCCUUGUACAAGCAAUAAGUCAAUCCCCCACUUUCAACAAAAAGUGAGAAAGGAUCAACCUUCUCGGGAUCAAGCAGCCCCCUCUGCAUCAUCUUUUUUACUUGCUUAGCACGUUUUUUCUUGUGACUGCAUCAUGAAGUAGUCAAACGCAACGAAUCAAUAUAUUUUAAAAACGAAAUUCCGCCUUGCCUUAUAAUAAGGUGAAGAAUGGAAGGUAGAAGAAAUCAACCUGCUGAGCUCGAGCUUGUCCUUGUAGCACCACAACACAGUCGGGCGCGAUUUCUUUACUUCAUUGCUUAGCAUAUAAUGAAGAUUCACAAUCUGAAGACCAUAUAAAACUCCAUAUUAGCCAUUUUCCGUUAGUUUUCGAUAGAUUUUCGAUGAUAUUUCUUACCUUGUUUGAGGUUUUUAGUGUUACUCGGUGAGUAUUGCAGGUGAAAACAAGAAACAGUAAAACUGGUAAAAUUUUCUACCCAAUUCAAUUUAAAUCAUUGUUAUAACUCCUCAAAUUGAAUAGGAAUAGCAAAUAGGGAAUGGGAUAGGAAAGGCAGAAGAAAUUAGGAGUACCUGGUCACGGGAUUUGUCGCCGACGAUGACGAACAUGGAGCGGUGCCGGUUUUUGACGCCAUUGCUUAUUAGGGUUCGGAUUCGUUCGUCCACCUUCUUCCUCAUUCUCUCUCUCUCUUCUCUCUCUGUGCAAUUAGGUUUAGGGUUUAUACCAUAGGGCAGUUGUCGUCGUCGGGCAGGGUUUAAGCCGAACUAGUGAGAGAGAGACUAGACAUCGCGGAGAGAUAUUGAGUUCAUCUCAACCGUUGAUUGGCUAUCUGAUGGCUGUUAUCAAAGCUGACAUAAAAAUGAAAACUCAACACGUGGCCAAGUAUUUUUUUUCUCUCUUUUUUGGCUUAUUUAUUGAUUUGCCCCAGAAAUUAUUUUUUUUGUCUUACUCUAGGUCAUGAAACAGAAUUUAUCUUACUUUAUCUUCUAAAACUACCAAAAUCGAGUCAUUUCACCCAUGUUUUGUCAAUUCUAUCUCAUAAACGUUAAAUAAAAGGGAGUCUAAACAUUUCAUACCAUGCUAGCAAAGAUGAGCCACUGUUGUUGGUGAGGUACGAAAUUUUCAAACUUUCCUAAACCUUUAAAACUUAAAAGGUAUCUUGAAUAUGAACGUAAAUGAGGUAAAGUUGCUCAAUUUUGGCAAUUUAUGAAGGGUAAAAUGAGACAAAUUCAAUUUAAGGCUAAAGUGAGAGUAAAUGGCAGUUUCAUGAGAUAUAUCAAUAAAUAAAUCUUUUCUAGAAUACAACUAAAUUAUGUACUCACGGUAAAAGAUAAAUUAAUAUCGAACUUGUCAUUGACGAUAUCUAAACAUAAAACCUUUCAAGUUUUUACCUAUAAGAAUAAAUUUGGUAUAGUAAUUUCUUUUCUAAUUUAAAGUUUCCCAUAGAGUUAUGACGAAUUUGAUACCAAAUUAGGCUGUCAUUGUGUGGCAUAGCCGAAUUCCUCCUCCCUUACUUUAAAAAUAACGAUGUACUCAAAAAAAGUUUCCCAUAGAGUUAAAAUGAUCUUUAGUUGCUUGCUGAGACAACCCAUAUGUAUAAUAAGACAUUGAAAAAGGUGCCUCUGUCAUUUACACUCACACGAUCGAAUAAGUAGCUCCGACAGUUGCAUCAUAAAAUUAAGGGGUUUUCCGAGAUUGUAGUAAGGUUGACGAUUAAAGUUUGGGAAAUUUUCAGGUUAAGGAAUCAAGGGAUCACAUUUUCAAGUUUCGUAGGCAUUCUCUUUCCUUUGGAAUGGUGUUGGAAUCCGUCCUGAAGUUGCCCAUUCCUUUGCUCUUGAUUUUCAGAGUUGGAUAGCUAUAAACCUUAGGACACAUUGUACCACCAUACAUGGUUUACCUUGGAACCUUAUCUUUAAUUCAACUCUCUGGCAUUGCUGGAAAUGGAGGAAUAACUUUGUCUUCAAUGAUGGCCAACAACCGCUUGACUCACCCCAGAAUUUCAUUUUUCAAUUUGCAAGGGAAUGGUGUGAUGCGAACAAGUGUUCUUCUAGUAAGCCUCCUAGACAAAAUCAUCUCAAUCCAUUGGAUUCGUUUGCCAAUUGGUAUACAAAAUCAAUACAGAUGGGAGUUGUAAAGACCCAUUUAGCCACAUAAGUGCUGGAGGUUUGCUUCGUAAUUCUGAAGGGAAAUGGAUUAAGGGAUUUGCUGCUAAUUUGGGCAGAGGAACCAUCAUGGAAGGUGAGCUUUAAGGGUGGUUUCAUGGGACUUUCUAUAGGUUGGGAUGAGAGUUGCAAGGAAGUGAUUAUUGAAUGUGAUUCUUAUGCUGCUGUUACUUUGAUCCAACAACCUAUUUUAGUUCCCACUCUACAAUCUCAUUAUUGACUGCAAAGAAGCCAUUGAAAGAAAUUGAAGAUGUGAAGUUACUCAUAUCUAUAGAGAAAAUAAUGUCUUAGCUAAUCACACGUCUGACUUAGGUCAUGGGUUAUCACUUGGUCUUCAUGUUUUUGCUUCUCCUUCUACCAUUGCUACUAAUUUUAUAGUUUCUAAUACUAUUGGCAGGGCCCUCCCUAGAGCUGUUUUUUAGUAGCUUUUUUGUUUUGCUUGUUGGGCUUUGCCCUCUUCUGUACCCAAAAAAAAAAAAAAAAAAAAAAAUAUUGGGAAAUUUAUUUGGACCCAACUUUUUUAUCUCUACACCCAAAUAAUAUUUUCUCUUAUCUAAUCUUCCAAAUUUGUCCUUAAAUAACAAACAUUGAAGUUUUCUUUGUAUCUCUACACCCAAACCCCACGAUCCACCACUGUAGGGCGCUCCAUUAUUUCCGACAAACCCAACUCAAACGCCAGCAACACUAAAAUCGACAAAUCAAGACUGGAGAACAAAUGGUGUAGGAGUCCUAAUGUGAAUAUUAAAGCAAACUUAAGUUGCAAAACCCUUUUUUAUUUCAAUCGAUGAAAGGACCUUGGGUUAUGAACAUAAGGAACCUAUUAGGGUUUAGAGGUCCCCUCCACAUCAUAUGCAUAAGCCCUUUUUCUUCAUUCAUUAAUUUACGGAAGGGAAAAUUAAUACUAUUAUUCUCAUAAAAAGUGGGAAUACCAAGGAAAGAGAUCCUCUCCACACCAUAUAUUUUUCUUUUCUGAGUAGUUAUAUCCAAUGGAGAGAGGAAAACAAGAGCACCAAUGGUCGCAGGUUCACCGGAGAAAAUGAAGGUGCAGUGGUGAUGUGAGUUUAGGGUUAUUGGGUGUAAAGAUAACAACUUUAAUAUUUAUUUUCUCAUUUUUAUUUAUUUAAGGGCAAAUUUGAAAGUUUAGUAGAGAAAAUUUGUUAGUUGGGUGUAGAGAUAAAAAGGUUGGGUCCAACAAAAUUUCUCAUAAAGUUUAAUCACGCGAUUAAGUUCUUGUGCAAUGAGUAAAUUGUAGCAAUGACCCAUCAACUAAAAAUCCAUUAUUAUUGAUCCCUCAACUCAUCAAAAUAUGUAGUUAUGGUCAUUUUCGUCAACUUUGUAAGAAUUUUGUCAAAAUAAAUUAUGUUGGAAGGACCAUUGUUACAAUUAAGGUCCUUCAACUCAUCAAAACAUGUAGCUAUGGUCAUUUUCGUCAACUUUGUCAAAAUGAGUUAUGUUGGCAUGACCAUUAUUGCAAUUGGGUUAAAGUUGAGGAAUCAUUGCUCCAAUUGGGUUAAAGUUGAGGGAUCAUUUCUCUAGUUAGAUUAAAGUUGGGGGACCAAUGAUAAUUAAGUUUUAGUUAAGGGAUCAUAGUUGCACGUUUUGAUGAGUUGAGAGAUCAAUGAUAAUGAAUUUUUAGUUAAUGGAUCAUUACUCCAAUUGAGUUAAAAAUAAAGGACCAUUGCUACAAUUUACUCUUGUGCAAUAGAAGAUUAAUUUGGCCGAACAACCUGAUUAAGGUGCCUACUUUCUCUUUAAUUCAUUGGUAUCAUUUAUUUUCCCUUAAGCUGAAUUAUGCUCAAUUUAUGUAUCAAUAUUGUAAAGUUGUCUUUGUUAGAGUAAUUUGGACAAUAUAAAUUGAAAAUUAUUUGUGUAUAUGGAAAAGAUUAACCUCAGGGGUCACUUCGCCGGACUCCGUAGCAAUCUCCACCACUCCAAUCGUAAUGGUGAGUAAAUCACUUGUGUUUGUUUCCAUUUUUUCAAUUGGAAAUUGGGGGUUUUGAAUUCAUAUUUUGUCAAUUGGUUUUGUGAGCACUGAGAAUACACUACGAGCUUGUGUGUGUGUACAAUAUGUUGGAUUUGAUCUUUAUAAAGAAUGCGAGAAAUUGGGGUUAGGAAAGAGAAGAAAAGGAAACAGAACUCGAACUUCGAUCUUCAUUCUUGUUACUAAAGGAGAAAACCGAAUUUGAACCGGUUCAUACGUAAUCGAACCGAAUUUGUAUAGUUCGGUUCACCCCUUAGUACCGAACCGUACCAUACCAAAAAAAAUUUCUUGAGUUUGGUUUUGAUACAUCCCUCAUACUGUACCAUACCAAAUCGUGGCCAGACCUACUGAAUACAAAACUUAUAUCUGGGUCGUAAGUCGUAAGGCCUCCAAAAAAAAAGUUCAUAUUAUUCAUACCAAUCGGACAAAUCCCGCACCCAAAAACAAUGGCUAGAUAGAAAGUUCAAUUAUAGAUUAGGUAAUCUAUCCUUUUCAACUUAAAUGCACAUUCAUGAUGGUUAUGCAAAUCAUAUUAUGUUAACAAAUGCAACAAUUAAUUAUAUUUAUCCAUUUGGAAUGAUAUAUAUUUUCAAAGAUGGAAUUACAGACCCCGUUGACGUUGAGGCCAUUGCAUGAGAGAAUUUUAGAUGAUUUUCAAUUAAUUUAUAUUAUUGUUGUGAUAACCAUAAUAAUUAUUUUCUAAAUGUAAAACUAUAUUAAUGAAAUUUUCUUUGUCGGUCAAAAGAAGAUGAAAAGAUAUCUUUAUCUUCUAUCACAACAAAAAAAUUAAGGAUAUUAAUGUAAUAGGCUAAUAGCGAUGGGGUGAAGAAAUGGAACUAUCCUAAAUAGGCAGUUGCUGGUUAUAUUGGAUCAGGUGGUCUGAAUGAUUGGAUAAUUAGCAAAUAAAAAGGUUCCAUUUUUCAUGGACCCUCAAGUGGAAAUAUGGGAUAAAAGAUGGCAUAUACCAUUUUAUCCAUUUGUGAUUGUACAUUUUGAUGGUUGUGAUUUCACCCGAUGGCGCGGCAAGUGUGGAUUGGGAUAAGGAUGGUUUUGGUCUAUCAUCAAAGAUGGUUUGAUGUUCACGACUGGAUUUUACAACGCAUCCAAGUGCAUGGGUUCUAUAAAUACAGAGUUGCGCACAAUAAAAAAGUACAAAGGACCUUCAAACCUUUCACACACUCUGAGAAACUCCUGAUUCUCCCAACUUCGUCAACACAUCUUCAAUUUGGAUUAACAUCACUGUUUGUCAGUGAGGAGUCCUUAGUCUUCUCGUCUCAUUAGCCCUCUAGGUGAAGUGAGGUGUUACUGAAUUACUUGAGUAUUCAGCACAUUGAAAGUCGAACCUUAUUUGAACUUCACAGUAGUUAGCAAUCUUAUCUUCAGGUUUUAGAACCCAAUGCCAAGACAUAUUCCUUCCUCGACAGUGAUGGUUUGUACACAAAAGUUGGUUUGUACACAUAAGUCAGUAUUGUGUUUGACACACCAUCCCAUUCAUUCUACUAGCCCACAAACGCGUGGACUCGUCCAAAAUUACCCCACUCUCGGCCCGUUCACUUGCCCACUCGUCCCACGCGGCCCGUGAGUCUUCAGUGCCUGAUAGGGGGGCCUACUGUUAGGGCCGUUGUUGGCCACAACCCAGAGCCCAACGAUUUUUUUUUGCAUCCCACGACUGGCAUUUUUGGACCGUUGGUUGAUCCAACGGUCCAGAUUCAAAUUUUGUUUUUUUAAAUGUUAUUUUAAAAUACAUUGAAUCCAACGGCUGAGAUCGAAUAUAAUCAAAUCUAACGGUAAAAUAAAAAAAGAUAAAAAAAGAUAUAACAGUCCAAAUUUAAAUCCAACAGCUAAAAUAAUUUUAAAAAAAAUUAUUUAACUCAAAAUUCACCCAAAAACUCUAUAAAUACCUUUGUAUUUGUUCAAACAUCCACACAAAACUCAAUUUUCUCCCACAAUUCUUCCAUUUUUUCUUUCUACCAUUUCUUUCCAUUUCCAAAUUGUUCAACACGAUCCUUGAAUUGGCCAUCCCAAGCAGUAAGACAAUUCUUCCACUCCCAAAGCAUACAAUCGAGACUUCCUAUCAUGUCAGGAAAGCCUAUUUUGUCUGCUUUGAGUAGAAUGUGACGACAUGUCCCGAAUUAUUAUAUAUUUUUCUCCCUAAGUGUGUAAAGUGACGGUAAUGCCCUCGUGAUUUAGUGACGUGGAUGUACAUAUGUAGUUUUAAAUUAUUAUUUCUAUUGUCGUAGUUAAAUUGUACUCGACGCCAUGAGUGUGUUGAUGUGACCUAGGGCUAAAACAAAUUCGUAACGAAGAAGUUACGAACAGACGAGUGUGUAAAUGCGUAGAAAUAUAUUUUUAUGGGUUGGCUAUACCUUACCCACCAAUCACCUUAAUUCCUGAUUUCUUUGGCCUAAUUGAAUUAAAAAUAUCUCUCAUUUUUCCUUCUGCCCAAUCACGCACAUACACACCAUCACUCUCUCUCUUCUCUCGGACCUUCUUCUUCUUUCUUCUCAUUCCGUACACCCGAGCCACCCUUACCUCACAAUCAUCAUCAAAACAUUAUGGAUCGAAUUGGAAAUCACUACCAUCGCAGUCACCUCGAUCCCACGAACUCAUUGAUACCCUUAGGUCGAGGAAUAGACGUCGGGAAUUCGAGAACUCGGGAGCUCUGGCGAGGUGUAUUUUUCUACUUUGUGAUCGUGGUCUUUUUCUAUGGUUUAAAGGCUUGAGGUGGGUCCUAAUCAACUUUAUAGGGACCCUAGAUUAGUUUUGGAGCAGUUUGAACGUUGGAAUAGGUGAGAACAUGGAGUUGCAGGUUGGCCGGUUGAUCCAAGCCUUACUCCGACCACUUUCUGUCGGUUUUAGAACCUCAAGUAGGUAAGAUUGUAUUCUUCUAGUUGAGAGUUUCAAAUCCAUAUAAAAUUCAUGGAAUUUGGUUGAAAAAUGAUGAAGAUAUUAAAGUUUUAAGAUUUUUCCAAAAAUCAGCGACACAAACGGCGCCCGACGGCCAGCGAUGGAUUCCGACAAAGCCAUCGGAGAAGGAGGAGAAUAUUAUGUCUAACUUUGACAGAAUAUACUAACAGCGUCAGGUAACUCUAUUAGUUUUUAAACAAAAUAUUCUACUAUUUAAUGAAAUAUUCCCUAACGCCGUUAGGGAUUCCGUGCCUGCACGUGCCGGCUUAUGAGGGCGCGUGAGACGUCAGGAAAUUAAUCUAAAAAUAUUGGGGUGUUCGAGUUGUUGAGUAGGUCAUGUUGGUAUAUUCAAACACCCUAUUUGAGCAACGUAUGAGAAGUUAUUCCUAGGGUUUGUGUAUGUGCCUUAAAAUUAAUGUAAAAUUAGUUAUUUCGCAUAUAGGUGAGACUUACCCGGAGGACAAACGUGGUCAAACGAGACUUGGGGGCUACGAUCCUACUACUUACCAGUGAGCGGGCUUUUUUUUUCUAUAUAUAUGUAAAUAUGCUUAUGAAUCCCAUAAACUACUUUAAAUGAACGUAUGUUUUAAAUGCCAUGUCGUGUGCAUUAUGUGUUAGUAUUGCAUUAGUAUAGCUAUGCAUAGUAUUGGAUGAGACUGCGCAGACUCAGGUAAGUUUCAGGUGAGUACAUCAUGAUGGUAUUGGGUGCGUGUGUGUGGUUAUACGUUGAUGCAUUUUGAGCUUAUUAUCCUGCACAUUGGUGUUAGUGUUCUCGCCCAUGGCCAGGGCAUAGUUUUUCACAUGAUGUUCACCUCCUGGGCCGCACGCUCACUUUGGAUCCAAGUUUGGUGCACAGCCAUAUUGCACAGACCACAAUAGGUGGUUCCGACUCGUAGGUGACCUGCAAUUAUUUGCACAGCCUUCACGUGAUCGUAGCACUUAAGCGUACUUAUCUACACCCAGCCCUGUUGUACAGACCACAAUAGGUGGUUCCGACUUAUGUGCAUGCAUACUUGAUGAGCUAUAGAUUCAAUUGUACAGGUUACAUUAGGUGACUCCGGUUGGCAUACUAUUUUAGGUUGAUUCGUAUCACCUGGCUUACACAUUUUAUGGUUGAACAUCUUGACAUGGCAUACCUCUGUUUUCACUGCUCUAAGCAUUAUCCUUAUGUACCUAGUUGUUAUUAUUUUCUGGAAAAUUAUAUGGGUUUACAGUGAGGGGUUAGUAUGUUCAUAAAGACAACUGUGUUUUCAAAAACUUUGUUUUUGCCUACUCACAUUUUUUGUUUUGCACCCUUUCAGGUUCUAGGUAGUUGGUCAUCCUUGGUGGCUCACGAGGACUUUCACGGCGGUUCUGACAUCUCUGUAAAUAAGUAGGGAUUUUUUUCCCUGUUUGUAUAAUUAGUACUUAGUUGGUUCGAUUGCACUUUCGUUUACCCAUGCUCUGAUAUUUGUAUAACUUGCUUGGUCAUCUUUACUCACUUAUAUUAUCUUAGUUUAGAUAAGUUUGGUUUUAGGUUUUUAUUUAUUCGCAUUUCUUUUAUUAUUACUUCUGUUGCGCAUUUUGGCUACGUUACUCUUACGUGACGGGCAUCAUGUUUCGACUUCGGUUGGGGUGUGUCAUAAAAGCCUCUUCAAGUCUUCAUGAUUUGGCUUGCAGAGAUAUGUGGCUCCAUAUGUGGCCUGAAUUGCCCCACAGAAGCGCUCCAGGUUUUUAAUAGCAGUAGUCUCCGCAAGUCGGCAAUACUCAUCAGUUGAGUUUGCAGAGCACUCAUUAGCUAGCAUCCGAAAUGCAGAUGUGAGCUUCUGAUGAGGUGAUAGACUUUGUCGGCCUACGACAUUUAUCUUCCUUGCAAAGUAGUGGUCAUGAUUGACAACUGUGUUCAAGAUGCUUUCAAAAAUCUCUCUCCUCAUUCGAAACCGUCUCCGAAAAUCAUGAGCAGGAAAUCUCGGACGCUCAAUAAAAUAAUAUUUCAUCAUUCGGUCAUGACACUCUUCUCUAUCACGUUGCACAAAUGAACGCUUCGUGACAUAACCACAAUAGCUAGAUUCGACAUGGUGCUCAUAUUGCAUAAGCGAGUUUGGAAGUUUAGCUUAUGCGUUGAUCAUUUUUGAAUCCUCAAUGUCAAGGCUUGCUUGGUAUUAUGUCAUUUGCAUUGCCCUGCUACACCUUCUUCUAUCAUCCAUUGUUGAUAUAUUGAGGAUUUUUAUGAAACAAAAACACUUUGAAAGUUGAAAGAUUAGUGAAUAUAGGGAAUGAUUGAAGGUUGAAAGAUUGUGUGACCAACUGAUAUUGAACAUGUGUUUAUAUAGAGGAUGAUUGAUGAAAGUUGAAAGUUUGGUGAAAGUUGAACGGUUGGUGAAAGUUGAAGAUUUGUGAAAGUUAAAGACUUGCUUUGUGGAAAGAUUUAGUGAUUUUUUCAAUAUUUAUUGGAAUUUAAAUAUUUUUAUAUUAAAAUGUUCAUAAAAUUAAUUUACCAUAGGCUACAUAAUUUUUUUUAAAAGUUAAUUUAAGAAAAAAAAUUAGCCUAAGUUCAUUCUUUAAUAAUCCCGAACUAAAAUUUUAGGCUAGGGUUGGAGCAGAAAAACUGUUUCUGUGUUAAAAGCUAAAUUUUUUAGAUUAAAAAUUUUAAAUUUUAACCCAAAGGUUGGAGAUGAUUUAAGAAUGGAUAAACUUAACCAAGAAAAGAAGAAAAAAGAUGAAGGGCAAAUAAGUGAGAAGCAACAUGACACGACACACGGACGACCAUAGCAAUAAAGCGUGCGUCCUCACGUCCAUUGAAUAUAUAGAUGGGAGCUACAACAUCGUGUUUCACGUGCAUGUGUAUUAUACAUAAAGGCAUAUACAGUGUUAGCUUAUAUAUUAUAAAGUUUGUAGGCCACUUACCCAAUUUGGCAUAUGUUUUAUCUUUUUACGUGAAUAACCAAUGUGUUAUGAUGAUACAAGUCUCUUAACAUAUCCGGAGUUAGAAAUAUCAUAAGACAGUGUUGCGAUCAUAUUGAAAUUAAUUGACAGUUUGUAUUAUAUAUUUGAUUAUUCUUUAUUAACUUAAGGAGACAGCAUACUUAGACCUAAUUUAGUCACAUUCUCCAACCGAAAAUAAAGCGGUGUAGUAUUCAUACACUUUUUUUUAUUUCUUACACAGUCUUAAUUAAUUUCUAUUGUUUGAUCUUCUUCAAUUCAUUCGAUCUGACGACCGAAAAUUAAGAUGGUGUGUGGACGAGUAAAUUAUAACAAUGGUCCCUCAACUUUAAUCAAAUUGGAGCAAGGGUGCUCAACUAAAAAUCCAUUACCAUUGGUUCCUCAACUCAUCAAAAUGUGUAGCUAUGGUCAUUUUCGUCAACUUCGUUACAAUUUUGUCAAAAUAAGUUAUAUUGGAAUGACUAUUGCUACAAUUGGGGUCCCUCAACUCAUCAAAACGUGUAGCUAUGGUCAUUUUCAUCAAUUUCGUUAGAAUUUUAUCAAAAUGAGUUUUGUUGGAAUGACCAUUGCUACAAUUGAAUUAAAGUUGAGGGACUAUUAUUUCAAUUGAGUUAAAGUUGAAAGAUCAUUUCUUCAGUUGUAUUAAAGUUGAAGGAUCAAUGGUAAUGAAUUUUUAGUUGAGGGGACUAUAGCUGCACGUUUUAAUGAGUUGAGAGAACAAUAAUAAUGAAUUUUUAGUUGAAAAACUAUUACUUCAAUUGAGUUAAAAUUAAGAAACAAUUGCUACAAUUUUUUUAUAUGGAAAGUGGAUGAUGUGAAUAGCACAUCCAAAAAUAAAAGGGAACUUUAACGAAAAGCACCCGGUACUGUUCACUUUAACGAAAAACCACAUUUUUACACUAAAAAGUCAAUCCUGGUACUAUUCACUUUACCCUUUAUUUUGUCCUUAUCAUUAAAACUCAAAGUUUUCAAGCCCUUUUCAUUAGUUUUCCUAAAAUAAAAUGCACCACAAUUUGGUAGGAUCUUCCUGUUGAGAGUAAUAAAUUAAUAAUUGCCGAAAUAUUGGAUAAUUUGUCGGCCACAACGCUAUGAGGGAGUAUCUGGGGAUGAAUAUACUCUUGCCGACAGAUGCCCAAAUUCCAACUGCCAUUCAAAUGAGCCCUCCACCACCACCGGCCAUAAUAAAUUCUCUUUCUUUAGUGAAGAAGAAAAAGAGGUACUUGGCCCUCACCUCAACUUUUUGAGAAAGAACAAGUUUAUCGCUAUCAGAAUGUUUCGGUCAAUUAUAUAAGUUAUGUGUAAAUUUUUCUUUAGAUAACAUUACAUUAUUAUAUUUAAAAUGUUCCGUAACGAUAAAUUUGUUUCAUACAAAUUAUUCUCCAACUUCUUGGAUUUUUCUCCUUUUUCCCGAAAACCAGCUUAUAUUAGUGUUCAUCCUCUGUCAAUAUCACUCGCCCACAACUAUUCAACUAACUUUUAAUAAUUUGACAACGUGUCAUAUUUUUGUGCAAAGCGGGCCCAUUUUUGUGGGUGAUAUAAUAAUGGCGUAUGUGGUUUGUCAAGACAUAUACUCAUUUAUCCAUUAGCAGUUAGGUAAGUCACCUCACUCACCCACAGCCUAACACAUCAACAAAUAUUGCUUACAAAUUCUAGAAAAUUCGACCAAGAAAAAAAACCAAAUGCUCGCAAAUUAAAAUUGUGUAACAUGAUUAGUUUUUUAUCCAUUAGUAUUAAUUUUACGUUGGAAGAAAUUCCAAAUUUAUUCUUGUAAAGAGGGAUAUGAAAAUACUUUGUAUGUCUAUCACCAAAAUCUUCGAAUGUUUGAAUGGUUGAUUUUCAAGUCUCACACAAUUGGAUUUAGUUCAAGUGAGAAAGAAAUACACUCAAACUAUUAGAUAUGAGGAAUGAAAAUACACUACAAAAUCUUGUGAACAUUUCUAAUAUUCUCUUCUAUCUACUUUUUGUGAACCAAGUUUUUAUUUGUUUUUUUUUUUAACAAAAGAUAUUUUUUAUACUAGGGAAAUAAGGUGGGUUUAGCCUCAUAAUGGGCUAACAUAAUCUAGUUCAAACUUGCAUUUGGUGAGAAUCGAACCUAAAAUCUCUCACUUACAAGUGAAGAGGAAUACCAUUAGAAGUGUCAUGAAAUUAGCAGUCUUAUAUGUAAAAAAUUGAUUGACUAAAUGCUGUGUUAAAAAACAAGAUUAAUACUUGCAUCUCCCCACUUGGAAAAUGCAAAUAUUUCAUUUCUUGCAAAUAACGUAUAUCAUGCGUUCUGUUCAAUCGCAUAUUCAAAAAUGUUAAAAACAAGAUUAAUAUUUCUAUCUCCCCACUUGGAAAAUGCAGUAUUUCAUUUUUUACGAAUAACGUAUAUCCUGUGUUCCGUCCAAUCGCGUAUUAAAAAAAUGUGUGAAGUUUGGAUUAACUACACUCUUUGAGAAUUUCCUUAAAUAACCACUUUUUGAAAAUUUCUUAUAGGACUAAGUGAGUCUCCGCUGAGAAUUUCCUUAACUAACACAACACUACUUGAGUGAUAAUUUGUUAUAUCUUGAAUAGAGAAUAAAUCAGUUCCCUACUUUUGAAGGUACUAUUAACUUACACUAUAUUUGAAUGAGAACAAUAAACUUAGAAUUUAGAUGAAGGAAAUAAAACAGUUUCCUACUUUUGAAGGUACUACUCGAGUGAUAAUUUGUUAUAUCUUGAUAACGUGUCAUAUUUUUUUGCUAAGCGGACCCAUUUUUGUGGGGUGGUAUAAUAAUGGCGUUUGUUGUUUGUCAAGGGCAUAUACCCAUUUAUCCAUUAGCAGUUAGGUCACCUCACUCACCCACAACCUAGUACAUCAACAAAUAUUGCUUACAAAUUCUAGAAAAUUCAACCAAGAGAAAGAAAACCAAAUGCUCGCAAAUUAAUCUGUGUAACAUUAGUUUUUAUCCAUUAGUAUUUAUUUUACAUUGGAAGAAAUUCCAAAUUUAAUCUCGUAAAGAGGGAUAUGAAAAUACUUUGUAUAUCUAUUAUCAAAAUCUUUGAAUGUUUGAAUGAUUGAUCAUCAAGUCUCACACGAUUGAAUUUAGUUCAAGUGAGGAAGAAAUACACACAAACUAUUAUAUAUGAGGAUUGAAAAAUACACUACAAAAUCUUGUGAUAACAUUUCUAAUAUUCCUUUCUAUCUACAUUUUGUGAUAAGUUUUUUUUUUCCUUUUUUGAACAAACUAUAUUUAUCUACAUUAAGGGAGAGGAGGUGAUCUUAGCCUCACAAUGGGCUAGCAUAAUGUGGUUCAAAUUCGCCUUUGGCGAUAAUCGAACCUAAAACUUAUCAUUUACAAGUAAAUAGGAAUACCACUAGAUGGAUCAUGAAAUUAGCAGUCUUAUAGGUAAAAAAAAAUUGAUCGACUAAAUGAUGUGUUAAAAAACAAGAUUAAUACUUGCAUCUCUCCACUUGAAAAAUGUAGAUAUUUCUGUGAACACGGAAAAUUCCUGAAACGAAAGAGACAAGAACAACGUGCACAAAAUAAUAUUUUGGUGUUAAUGGAUUUGUUGGGUUACGAUCUCUUUUAACUUGAUCCUCUGAUUCGAUCUCCGUAAGGUGUUGAUUUAUGGAUGUUUCGUUGAUCCAAGGGCUGUUGAGGCUUGAUCUUAGAUGAACUGUUGGAAGUUUCUUCAAGGGGCCGUGGGCUUGAUCUUUGAAGGUGGAUUUGAGCGGAUCUUCAAGGAGCCGUUGGGGCUUGAUCUUGAGGAUGAGUGUUUCUUCAAGGGCCGUUAAGGCUUGAUCUUGAAUAACGGUGAUGAACGGAUCUUCAAGGGCUUUUGGGCUUGAUCUUGAAGAACGGUUGGAUGUGUGGAUUUGUUGAUGUUGUUGAUCCAAGGGCCGUCGGAGCUUGAUCUUGGAAGAACGAUGAACGAAGAACGAAGAACACUUUCUUCAAAGGCCGUCGGGGCUUGAUCUUGAAUUGGUGAUUGUUGAUCCAAGGGCCGUCGGGGCUUGAUCUUGGAAGAACGAUGAACGAAGAACGAAGAACACUUUCUUCAAGGGCUGUCGGGGCUUGAUCUUGAAUUGGUGAUUGUUAAUCCAAGGGCCGUCGGGGCUUGAUCUUGAUUCUUCGGGAUGAACGGAUGAUGAACAAUGAACACUUUCUUCAAGGGCCGUCGGGGCUUGAUCUUGAAUUGGUGGAAGUUCUUCAAGGGCCUUUGGGGCUUGAUCUUGAAGGUGGAUGAUUGUUGAUCCAAGGGCCGUCGGGGCUUGAUCUUGGGAUGAACAGUUGUGUGGAUUUGUUGAACACUUUCUUCAAGGGCCGUCGAUGCUUGAUCUUGAAUUGGUGGAAGUUCUUCAAGGGCCGUUGGGGCUUGAUCUUGAAGGAGGAUUUGACGAAGAACGAAGAGGGCUUUCUUGAUCCUUCGGGAUUUGCUUGAAUUUGGGAGGUUGGAUGCUUGAAAGCUUUAGAGUUUCAAAGCUUCAAGGAUUUUGGAUGUGUGGGGAGUAUUCUCUUCCAUUUUGGGAGUAGAGAAAUGUAUUUGUGAAUUGGUUUUUGAUACCUUGAUGUAGAAGCCUAUUUAUAGGCUUUGAGAAUGAAUCACCACCACAAAAUAUUUUUUUUCUUUUCCAAGCACCAUUGCCUAAUUUCCCACUUAAUACAAUUUUAAACUUGAAGUGGUAAUUUUAUGGCCUAAUUUUCCACUUAAUAUCAUUUUAAACUUGAUAUGUGCAUGCUUUGUCAUUGCCCAAAAUGAGAAGAAAACCUUGUUUUGAUCUUCAAUGAAUUGAAAUGUGCUUGCCUUGUCAUUGCCCAAAAUGAGAAGAAAAACUUGUGUAAUCCUUCAAGGGUAUUUCUUUUUAUUUUGUUGAGUCGCACACCAUGUGUACAAUUUGUAUGACACGUGGCAUAUGCCAUGUACGCCUUGACACGUCAAAAUUUUAAUGCGUUGGUGAACAUUUAUUUCACCGCAAUUUCGGUGUCUACAAAUGCCCCCACUUCAAGGUGCGUCGUAUACAUGUGCUUGUCACGUGUAGGAGAUGCGUUUUGAAGUCCCUUACUGUAGAUGUCAAUCCAAUGGCCAUCGAGGCUUGAUCUUGAAUUGGGCUGGAGAUUUCUUCAAGGGCCGUUGAGGCUUGUUCUUGGACUUUGUUUGAAAUUUCUUCAAGGGCCAUCGAGGCUUGAUCUUGAAGGUUGAAAUUGGACCACAAGGAGCUUCAUGUGGUAGAUGAUCUUUGGCUUUGGUAGUGGAUGAAUCGGCACGUAUUUGUUUUUGCGCUUUGUUGACUUUCCACAGCUUUGAUCUUGAACUGGGUUGGAGGAUUUUUUGGAUUCCUCCAAUUGUUGAUUUUCCACAGUUUAUUCUUGAACUGGAUUUGAUUCAAAUAUGGUGGACGCUUGAUCUUGAAUCGGACUUGUGAUUUCCUCAAGGGCCGUCGAGGCUUGAUCUUGAAUUUGGCCGGAAACUUCUUCAAGGGCCGUUGAGGCUUGAUUCUUGAAGGUUGACUCGAACACAUGGCAAGCAGGCACGAGGUGAAGGUGACGACUUGUUGCUUUGUUCAAUCUUUCUAAUUCACACCUGAGCAGUUUGGUCAACGGUAUGAUCUUCAAGAUUGAUGGGCUCUUCUUCCAGUUGGUGAUUUGAUCUUUAAGGAUUUGAUUCAAGGGUGGUGAAACGGCACAUGCAGCCCACAACGCCUAGCAAGUCGACCCAAGAAUUUGAGGGUUAAAACGAGUCCUCCACCCAGAGUGAUUGCAAACCUGAUGAUAUGAGAUACUUUUGAUUUUGAAGAAGUAGCGGAUGAAUCGGCACGUGCUUUGUUGUGCUUGUCUCCACAUGCUUCAAUGUAUCAUUUUCCCUUGUCUUAUCUAUUCUUCUAGCAGAAUGUAGCAUCUUCUUAAGUUCUUCAACUCAGACUCCUUCUGCUGAGCUGACUGUGCAGGCUGCAUUAUUCUCUGCUUGUUUCUUUAGGCAGAUGUGGCAGCUUCUUGAGUUCCUCAGCUCGGACUCCUUCUGCUGAGCUGAUUGUGAAGACUGCAUUCUUAUCUGCUUGUUUCUUCUGUACGUUGUCUCCACAUGCUGCAAGGUAUCAUUUUCAAUUGCCUUAUUUGUUUUCCAGGCAAAUGUGGCAUCCGAGUUUGAGUGGAGGUUCUGGCAUAUUGUUUUCUUUAUCCUUGUCUUUGUAGGUAAGAACAAGGACAAAGGAAAGGACAGGGAGAACGCAUGAUAUGAUAUACUCUUGCUUUCUACCCUGGUGAUAUGAGAUACUUUUGCUUUGGUGUCAUUUGUUUGCAGAGGUACCCCAAGGAAUAAGAAACACUGAGUGACUCGAGAGGCUUUGUUGGGAAGGCAUUCUAGGAGAUGAAGAAAGGUUCUUGGAGAUGAAGAAAGGUUCUCGGAGAUGAAGAAAGGUUAUGUAUGUCUGCCUUGCUAUGGAGGGUAAAGGUGGACAGUUAUAGGAAAUUCUUUAGUACCUGUAGAGGUACUAUUCUUUUACUCGUGUCGGCAACCAAUGUGUGAUUGAUCAGUAUGGCUUCACGUGUUUUCUUCUUUAUCAGAAAUCUUCGACAAAUUGUCCGUAAUUUUCGUCAAGCUGAGUGUGCAUGUGACAGGUGUUGACGAGGCUGAAAAAGACUGGUGCCUCUUCGAUAUCUGGGAUCGGCGCUUCGACAAAUUGCCCGUGAUUUCCGCAAAGCUGAGUUUGCGCGUGACGGGUGCUGACGAGGCUGAAAAAGACUGGCGCCUCUUCGAUAUCUGGGAUUGGCGCUUUAACAAAUUGCCCAUGAUUUCUGCAAAGCUGAGUUUGCACGUGACGGGUGCUAACGCGUCUGGAAAAGCAAGAUGCUUCUCCGAUUUCUGAGCUUGCCUCUUUGAUUUUUGAAUUGGCCUCUUCGAAUUCUGAGCUCGCCUCUUCGAUCUUUGAAAUCCCAUCGAGUGUUGAUCUUUAUAGAGGCACGCAGUUCGUUUCAAAGCACACUUGAAUUUUCGCUUGUAGAAACUCCCUUCUUGCACUUCUAAGAUCUUGAUUUGUCCGACCUCUUCUUUCUUCAACACCUUUGAAAAUGUCUGGACCCUCCGACCGUCAUUUUGAUUUGAACCUUGGUGAAGAGGUAGUCCCGUCUUCUCCAGAUAACAUAUGACGCCCAUCUUUCAUAUCCCCUACUGGUCCUCUUACCGUUGGGGAUUCGGUGGUGAAGAAUGAUAUGACCGCUGCGGUGGUGGCCCGAAACCUUGUCACUCCCAGAGAUAACAGACUACUUUCCAAACGGUCUGAUGAGUUGGCUGUUAAGGAUUCUCUGGCUCUCAGUGUGCAGUGUGCAGGUUCUGUGUCUAAUAUGGCCCAACGCCUAUUUGCUCGAACCCGUCAAGUUGAAUCAUUGGCGGCUGAAGUGAUGAGUCUCAAACAGGAGAUAUUAGAGGGCUCAAGCAGAGAGAUAAACAGUUGCAUAAGCUCGCACAUAGCUAUGCGACAAACAUGAAGAGGAAGAUUAACCAGAUGCAGGAAUCUGAUGGUCAGAUUUUACUUGAUCAUCAGAGGUUUGUGGGUUUGUUCCAGCAGCAUUUGCCUUCGUCUUCUGGGGCUGUACCGCGUAAUGAAGCUCCAAAUGAUCAACCCUUGGCUCCUCUUCUUCCUGGAGUUCCGCCGAGUGGUGUGGCUUCAAACAGUCAACCUCCGACGCCUCUCAUUUCUGGAGCUCUGCUGAGUGGUGAGGUGGCACCUAAUCGUCCUUGAAGAUCCCCUCUUGUAAAUUUGAUUUGAUUUUUUUUUAAGUAUGUAUAAUGCAAAUUUAUGUAAAAUUUCCAGAAAAAAUAAAUAAAAACGGACUUUAUUUCUCUCAAUGCAUUUGUUUUGUUUUGUUUUUGUUUUUUUUGUUUUUUUGUUUUUGUUUUUUUUGUAAAUACAUAAUAACAUAUGUAUUUAUUUAUUUAUUCUUUUGUAAUAAAAUUGACUUUCUUUAAUAAAACUUUUAUAUUUUUCUUAUUUAUUUUGAUAUGACUGAACUCGAAAUUGAAUGUUCGAGCCGCCUACGUACCCUUCCAAAGAAGAGAUCAAGCCAUAACGUAGUUCAAAUGAGUGAUGAAUUUAAUAGUGAUUUUGAUGAUGAUUUUGCCGUACACAGUUUAUGCUCUUGUGGGCCAGGAGCUUUGGUGUUGCCUUUUAUGCUCGUGCAGACCAGGAGCGUUGAUGUCGCCUUUUAUGCUCGUGUGGGUCAGGAGCGUUGAUGUUGCCUUUUAUGCUCGUGCAGACCAGGAGCUUUGUGCCAUGCAGUUUAGACUCGUGCGGGCAAGGAGCUUUGGUUCGUGCAGUUUAGGCUCAUGCGAACAAGGAGCAUUGGUUCGUGCAGUUUAGGCUCGUGCGAACAAGGAGCAUUGGUGUUGCCUUUUAUGCUCGUGCAGACCAGGAGCUUUGUGCUAUGCAGUUUAGACUCGUGCGGGUGAGGAGAAUUUGUGAAUUUUGUCAAGCACUUUUGGAGAGGCGUUCCUUACAAUCUUCAUAGCAAGGAGCCUUGACCGAGUGAUUGAAGAAGUCUUCGGGAAAGAAGUCGCACAUCGUGAUGGCAACAGACGAUCUUUGUGUCGUAAUUUCAUCAUCUUCAACACGUUCACGUUGCUUUGAAGGUUGACAAGAGCUGCUUUGCCCCCUUUCCGAUUGGCGGACUUGUGGAGGAGACGUAUGCUUCUUGUGCCAUUUCUUAGGAGUGACUUGAGUCCAUCCUUCAAGUUUGCUUGUUUUGGAGGAUGCCCCCGGCGGUUGAGGUGAAAAUUUUGUGUUGAAAGAGCCAGAAGUGAUGGUGGUAUAGUUUGACUUCACCACAUCGUCAAGAUCUAGCUCGAUGAUUCCUUUCUGAGCCCACUUUAUGAUGAGAUCUUUCAGCACAAAGCACUUUUCUGUCGGAUGACUGAUGAAGCGGUGGAAUUUACAGUAUCUUGGACUGUUGGUACGAUUCAUCUCUUCCGGCCAUCUGCACUCAGGCAAACUGAUCACCUUCUUGUCCAACAGGUCAUCCAACAUGGCAACCACAUCAGAGUCAGGGAAUGGAUAAGUCUUCUCUUUAAGCUCCUUCAAAGUGCGUCUACGCAUCUCUUGAUCACGAAAAGCUUCGGUUUGAAUCGUUUUGCCUCGUGUGGAGAUUUUGACGGGAGAUGUGUUGACUGUCAUUGCUUCCUUGGUGGAUUUCCACGUAGCCUUCUCCACCUUUGUCUCAAGAAUUUUGUCGUUCUUGUAGUCGGCGAUCGGUUCCUUCUUCCCAUGAUGGGUGAUGCUCAACUCCAUGUCAUGGGCGUGGGUGGCCAAUUCCUCGAAGGUCCGUGGUUUAAUGCCUUGAAGGAUGUAUUGCAAACCUCAUUGCAUGCCUUGGAUGCACAUCUCGAUUGAAGAGGUCUCCGAGAGCCUAUCUUUGCAGUCGAGGCUUAGAGUGCGCCAUCUGUUGAUGUAGUCAAUGACCGGCUCAUCUUUCCAUUGCUUCAUACUUGUGAGCUCCAACAUGCUUACAGUGCGGCGGGUGUUGUAGAAGCGGUUGAGGAAUUCCCGCUCCAAUUGCUCCCAGCUGUUGAUGGACUCAGGCUCUAGGUCCGUGUACCACUCAAAUGCGUUUCUUUUCAGCGAGCGCAUAAACUGCUUGGCGAAGUAGUCCCCCUCCGUCCCCGCGUUGUUGCAAGUUUUGACGAAAUGUGCAACGUGCUGCUUUGGGUUUCCUUUUCCAUCAAACUGCAUGAACUUUGGUGGUUGAUAUCCCAUCGGCAUCUUUAGGGCAUCAAUCUUCUUUGAAUAAGGCUUUGAGUACAACCCGGAGGUAUUUGAGCUCCCUUCGUACUAUGCCUUGACGGUGCUGGCAAUCAUCUCUUGCAACUGUUGGAUAGAAAGAGAUCCCAUGAGUGCCGCUUCUUGGUCUGGCUCCGGCUUCACAUCGAUUUUCUCCACCGUAGGCUCAUCUUCUGGGUUAGGGUUCUCGCUGUCCUGUGGCUCCAGUUGACUGAUGAGUGCAGCGAUUUGCAAGUCUUUUUCUUCCACAGUUCGGGUUAGCCUUGCGAUUGCUUCAUUCAUUUGAGCCAGUUGUUCUUCGAUGGAGGUAACGCCGAUGGUCAUGACUUGUGCAACCAAUAGACGUGACUUUCCUUUAGACAUCCAAGAUGCUGAAGAAGAACGUCAUUGGUUGUUUUGGGAUGUCAUCUUGUGUGCCUCAGCAACAUGCUUUGGUGCCCCCAGCGAGGUCAGGUUGAUGACAGACUCACACCUUUGAUGCUCCCUUUGCUCUUUUAGCGGCACCAACUUUGAAGUGGCAUGUUAAGGAGCGGUUGUGGUGCUAAUGGAUUGUCCAUUUGCGGCAGAAGUGCUUAGGAUCCUUCCCUCAGUGAUUGCGAGAACGGCUUGUCCCUUGCUUGAUGCCAUUGAUUUUGAGGUGUGUUUGGAUUCCUUAAACGGAGAAAGAUAUGAGAGGUAGAGAUUGUCCCACCGGGCGUGCCAAUUUGUGAACACGAAAAUUUCCUGAAACGAAAGAGACAAGAACAACGUGCACAAAAUAAUAUUUUGGUGUUAAUGGAUUUGUUGGGUUACGAUCUCUUUUAACUUGAUCCUCUGAUUCGAUCUCCGUAAGGUGUUGAUUUAUGGAUGUUUCGUUGAUCUAAGGGCCGUCGAGGCUUGAUCUUGGAUGAACUGUUGGAAGUUUCUUCAAGGGGCCGUGGGCUUGAUCUUUGAAGGUGGAUUUGAGCGGAUCUUCAAGGAGCCGUUGGGGCUUGAUCUUGAGGAUGAGUGUUUCUUCAAGGGCCGUUAAGGCUUGAUCUUGAAUAACGGUGAUGAACGGAUCUUCAAGGGCUUUUGGGCUUGAUCUUGAAGAACGGUUGGAUGUGUGGAUUUGUUGAUGUUGUUGAUCCAAGGGCCGUCGGGGCUUGAUCUUGGAAGAACGAUGAACGAAGAACGAAGAACACUUUCUUCAAAGGCCGUCGGGGCUUGAUCUUGAAUUGGUGAUUGUUGAUCCAAGGGCCGUCGGGGCUUGAUCUUGGAAGAACGGUGAACGAAGAAUGAAGAACGAAGAACACUUUCUUCAAGGGCCGUCGGGGCUUGAUCUUGAAUUGGUGAUUGUUAAUCAAAGGGCCGUCGGGGCUUGAUCUUGGAAGAACGAUGAACGAAGAACGAAGAAGGCUUUCUUGAUUCUUCGGGAUGAACGGAUGAUGAACAAUGAACACUUUCUUCAAGGGCCAUCGGGGCUUGAUCUUGAAUUGGUGGAAGUUCUUCAGGGCCUUUGGGGCUUGAUCUUGAAGGUGGAUGAUUGUUGAUCCAAGGGCCGUCGGGGCUUGAUCUUGGGAUGAACAGUUGUGUGGAUUUGUUGAACACUUUCUUCAAGGGCCGUCGAUGCUUGAUCUUGAAUUGGUGGAAGUUCGUCAAGGGCCGUUGGGGCUUGAUCUUGAAGAAGGAUUUGACGAAGAACGAAGAGAGCUUUCUUGAUCCUUCGGAAUUUGCUUGAAUUUGGGAGGUUGGAUGCUUGAAAGCUUUAGAGUUUCAAAGCUUCAAGGAUUUUGGAUGUGUGGGGAGUAUUCUCUUACAUUUUGGGAGUAGAGAAAUGUAUUUGUGAAUUGGUUUUUGAUACCUUGAUGUAGAAGCCUAUUUAUAGGCUUUGAGAAUGAAUCACCACCACAAAAUAUUUUUUUCUUUUCCAAGCACCAUUGCCUAAUUUCCCACUUAAUACAAUUUUAAACUUGAAGUGGUAAUUUUAUGGCCUAAUUUUCCACUUAAUAUCAUUUUAAACUUGAUAUGUGCAUGCUUUGUCAUUGCCCAAAAUGAGAAGAAAACCUUGUUUUGAUCUUCAAUGGAUUGAAAUGUGCUUUGCCUUGUCAUUGCCCAAAAUGAGAAGAAAAACUUGUGUAAUCCUCCAAGGGUAUUUCUUUUUAUUUUGUUGAGUCACACACCAUGUGUACAAUUUGUAUGACACGUGGCAUAUGCCAUAUAUGCCUUGACACGUCAAAAUUUUAAUGCGUUGGUGAACAUUUAUUUCACCGCAAUUUCGAUGUCUACAAUUUCAUUUCUUGUGAAUAAUGUUUAUCCUGUGUUCUGUCCAAUCGCGUAUUAAAAAAUGUGUGAAGUUUGGAUUAACCACACUCUUUUAGAAUUUCCUUUAUUUACCACUUUUUGAGAAUUUCCAAUAAGACUGGGUGAGUCUCCGCUGAGAAUUUCCUCAACUAACACCACACUACUUGAGGGAUAAUUUGUUAUAUCUUUGAAUAAAGAAUAAAACAGUUUCCUACUUUUGAAGGUACUAUUAACUUACACUAUAUUUGGAUGAAGGUCAAACUUUAUAAAUUGACAUACACCAAAUUCUUUGUUUGGAUUCAUAAACAUAUAAAUUUAGAAUUUCCGCGUGGAAAAAAAAAAUACUUAGAAUUUGAGACCUCCAAUUCUCAAAUUGAAAGUUUAAAAAUAAUAAAUUCCGUAUUCAAUUCAAUUGUUCUUUUAGGUUAACCAAAUAAGAAAAUUCACAAAUUCUAAAAUAUAAAAUCUCAUCAUUUCAAUUUCCGUCAUUUUAAAAUUCCUUAGUAAUAUUAAAUUUCUUCAUCCAAACAUAGUGUUAAGAAAUUUUUUAAAGAUACACUAUUUACACUCAUUUUUAUUUCUUACACAUUUAUUAACUUUGUCCAUUGAUUUCUUCAAUUCAUUUUGCCAGUUAUACAAAAAUUGAGAACAGUAUUUAUGAAUUAAAAAUACAUUUGUAGAUGUCACUACCAAAUUUUUAUUCCUAAUUCAAGAAAAUCUUAUCCAUAUAUGAUUGCCCUUGCCCACUUUAAAUGGGUGCCAUCACUUUACGAUAGAGCAAUCCUAACCGUCCACCUAGGUAAGCAUAACUGGCGAUGCAUGUCGCAAGGGGACCGCAUUGCACAAUAUAAUUAUACUAGUUGAUAAGACAAGUGAUGUCAAUCAAUAAAUUAUUUCAUUAAAACUUAGUUGUAUGUAUCAUAUGUUGUAAUGUAGGGUGUAUGAUAUGCUGACGCUGUAAAAAAAUGUAACCUUUUUAAUAUUACUCAUAAUAGUAAGACUUACCAGUAUUAGGAUGUUAUCAGUGGAAUGAGAAUCCUCUCCAGAUCUUUUUUGUGAGCUAUUAUUUGUAUUUAAUUUUAAAUAUAAAAAAUUAAAAUAAUUUAUGACGGCAGUGAUUCACAUGAUCUUCACAAAGAGAAUCCAAAUAAUCUUAAUUUAUAUCAGUGUGUCUAGAUAACAUGAUCGAGCCCCUUUACUUUUACCCUAUUUAGUAUUUUACAUUUGAACCUGUAAAUAUUCGAUUUUUCUUUGGUGCAACCGAGCACCAAAUAUAGAUUUUUUUUCACUUUUAUAUAAUGAUAAAUAAAGGGCAAUUGGCAGAUUUGAAUUCCAUUCGGAUUGGUCAAAAAUCAUUUUAAAUUGUUUUAUUUAAAAUUAAACACAUAUAGUACUUAAUAAAAAUUAGUCGUACAAUAUACGAUAAACAGAUAUAAUGUAAGGACCUUUAUGAUCUUCACAAAAAAGAUCCAAAGGUUGUGUAGCUGUUUCAAAAGGAUAAUACUCACUUUUGAUUAGUUCAAUGAAAUUUUAAACAUGUUUUAUUGUUUUAAAAAAUAAUAAACAUAUUUAUUAAUGUUUGUUUUACUUUAAAAAAUAAGCAGCACUUGACAACAUUUGAUUGUGCUAAAUAAAAAAUGAGUGACCACUUAGUACUACAGUCUUAUGAUAUUUUUCUUCAUUUGAAAGUGAGAGGUUUUAAGUUCGAAUCUCGUGGAUGACGAAUUUGAUAUCAAAUUAGAUUGCUCACUAUGUGGCUUAGCCGAACUCUCAUUUCCUUUAAUGUAAAAAUAUUGAUGUAUUCAAAAAAAUAAAAAGUGACUAUAGAGGACACUCAAUCUCAGCUGUAUGAUUAAAUCAGACGGUAAGAAAAAUUCUGCAAGCAUACUCGGUUACAUUAAUUGAAGAAAAAAUGGGUAAAUAUUGGGCACCAACGUUAUAAAUACCCUCCACCAUGCACCCAACUCCCUCACACCAUCACAACCCACGUUACAAAUCCUCCUCCUCAUCAUAACCAUUCUGUUUUCCGCAUAAUAUCCAAAAACCUAUCAUGUCUGAAGAGAAACACCACCGCGGUCUCUUCCACCACCACAAGGAUGAAGACAAACCCUCAGACUACCCUCAGUCUGGCUACUCUGAUGAAGGACGUCCCGGCGGCCUCGGUGGUGGUUACGGCGACACCAAUGAUUAUUCUGGUGAAGGACGUACCGGCGGCCUAGGUGGUGGCUAUGGCGACACCAAUGCUUAUUCUGGUGAAGGACGUCCCGGCGGCUAUGGCGGCUAUAACGAGACCACUGCUUACUCUGAGGAAAGAGUUGAAAGACCCGGCGGUGGCCGGUACAGUGAGACUACUGCGGCAUAUGGCAGCACCACCACUCAUGAAUCUGAACUUGAUUACAAGAAGGAGGAGAAGCACCACAAGCAU